rnacentral:tRNA from 1 species
GCGGUAUCACCGCAGGUCACUAGGUGCCAAAUAUCGCCCUCUCACGGCGAAAACCGGGGUUCGAUUCCCCGUGGGCGCG